GUGAUCACUUCGGCAGCACAUGUACUAAAAUUGGAAUGAUUCAGAGAAGAUUAGCAUGGCUCCUAUGCAAGGAUAACACAAUUCACGAAGCAUUCCAUACUUUU
rnacentral:snRNA from 1 species